GGACCCCCAUGAUGUCCAGCACCGGGAUCUGACCAUCCCUGAGAACACAAUGCUCCCCCGUCCUUUGACACCUGGAGUUCUGAAGGGCUG
rnacentral:snoRNA from 1 species